rnacentral:rRNA from 1 species
CGUGUAGGCGGUUGGUCAAGUCUGGUGUGAAAGCCCGGGGCUUAACCCCGGAAGUGCAUUGGAAACUAGCCAGCUAGAGCGCGAGAGAGGAGGGUGGAAUUCCUGGUGUAGCGGUGAAAUGCGUAGAUAUCAGGAGGAACACCGGCGGCGAAGGCGGCCCUCUGGCUCGUUGCUGACGCUGAAACGCGAAAGCGUGGGGAAGCAAACA